rnacentral:rRNA from 1 species
AUUGAACGCUGGCGGCAGGCCUAACACAUGCAAGUCGAGCGGAUGAAGGGAGCUUGCUCCUGGAUUCAGCGGCGGACGGGUGAGUAAUGCCUAGGAAUCUGCCUGGUAGUGGGGGAUAACGUCUGGAAACGGGCGCUAAUACCGCAUACGUCCUGUGGGAGGAAGUGGGGGAUCUUCGGACCUCACGCUAUCAGAUGAGCCUAGGUCGGAUUAGCUAGUUGGUGGGGUAAAGGCCUACCAAGGCGAGGAUCCGUAACUGGUCUGAGAGGAGGGUCAGUCGCACUGGAACGUAGACACGGUCCAGACUCCUACGGGAGGCAGCAGUGGGGAAUAUUGGACAAUAGGCGAAAGCCUUAUCCAACCAUGCCGCGUGUGUGAAGAAGGUCUUCGGAUUGUAAAGCACGUUAAGUUGGGAGAAAGGGCAGUAAGUUAAUACCUUGCUGUUUUGACGUUACCAACAGAAUAAGCACCGGCUAACUUCGUG